AACAAUUUGGCUUAGAGGUUAAGGCGUCUGCCUCCAAUGCGGGAGACCCGGGUUCGAUCCCUGGGUUG
rnacentral:tRNA from 1 species